UUUAAUAAUUAUUGGUUUGGUGAACGUCACUUUCCCGACGUUACGUCGGGAUGGGAAGACGCCCUUUCAAAACGGGAAUGCUGUGUAAAUCAGCAACUGUGCCGCAGCGGUAAUUUGAAUCGUUUCUUAAGCUUGCUCUGAGCGAGCGAAGCGAGUCGAAGAGUCCGAAGACCGACCAAACCCCCAAAGCAGGU
rnacentral:ncRNA from 2 species